rnacentral:lncRNA from 1 species
GAAACAGAGAUUCUGGGUUACUAGCAAGUGACAGCGUGAGCCCAGGAGGAGCUGGAGAGAGUGGCAAGCUUGAGUGACAGCCCCAUGCCUGCCCGCUGUACCAAGCCCAGUGUACAAUACCUUGCUCUUCUAAGAUCCCGUUAGGCAUUUUCUUGUCGUUGCUGCUGACCACGGCCUUCCUCUGCUUCCGGAACCUUAAAGGCACACACAAGAUGUGUUAGGUCUCAGCACCGCGGGAACCCCCAAGCCCUGAGUGUGGUGAUACCCACCAGGUGAGCCGGGAAAAGUUCUUUCUGCUGCUCAUGGCUGAGCUGUGUGGCAGCUCAGGCCUGGCCAGCCGCUGUCUGAGCUGUUUGGGCCCACACCCCCAGCCUCCAGCACACUCAUUUCCUCAUAGGAGCUGGUGAGAGCACGUCAGCGCCUGGGGACACUCCUACCUGAAGAAGUAGGCUGCAAGCAGGAACAGGAGGAGGAGCAGGGGCAGCAGCAGCCAGGGUGCCCUCCUAUCACCACAAAGCUCCCAGCCAAAAGGCCCCAUCAAAAGCCUGCUUCUCCAGUGAAUGAGUGUGGCUCCUGUGAACUGGUCCAGAGGAGCUAUGAUCUGCAGCUGGUGAGCACAUGCUAUCAGGAGUGAGCCGGUCUCCCAUGGGAGGCCCUGGAGGUGAGUAGCUCGAUUUCCAUCCUCUUGAGUUCCAGAAGUGCCAAACAUUGUCCCCAAGCUGAGUGUGUGUGCCAGGGUUCAUGUCCUUCCUCCCAUGUGCCACCCUGGUCCAUAGAAACUCAGCACUCCAGGAAGGAGUUUGAAAUGUCAUAGUUUCCCCAGUCCUGUGCAUGUAUGUAAUCUACAGGCUAUGACCCACAGUCUGCCAUCUGUGGCCCUGGCCAAGAGAAGCUGAUUCCCAGCAUGUCAAGGUCAGGUAUAUAUUAGACUUAAUGGCUAGGAAUAUCUGUCCCUCCCUCAGGGGGAUACUCCAAACCUGCCCAUUGCCCAGCUGGGGCCCGUUAGGAGCAGCCUGGUCCACGACUUCCACGGCUGUGGCUCCAGGGAAAUGGUAUACCCUAGACUAGGACCUGUAUCAAAGUUUAACCUGGACUGCCGAGAGCUGCCUGGGCCUGAAGGGCAGCGCUAAGCCAAUCUCAGGGAGCCCCACUGCUCAGGGUUCCCUGAUUCAACUCCAUCCAUUUUUGGUCAAAGGCCACUAGAAAGUGUGGGCAGUCUCCUCCUUCUUCUCAGGAAAUGCUCACUGUCUUUUCUGGGUGUGUCACCAUGGUGACAAUACCCACUUCUGCAUUACCCAGAGCCCAGCCUCUGCUCUGCAGAAGCAGCUACUAAACUGGCUUGGCUACAAGGUCCACUCCAUCAUAGACAGAGGGACUUCGACCCCGUGAAUCCUCCCCUGGGCUCUGUCAAAGUACUCGAGGGUCCAGCCUCUGUGUCCAGGUUCUCGGAGUACAAGCUGCAGUCACAGAAAAAUGGGGACCCCACAAGGCAUGAGUUGAGUGACACAAGGCCUACAUGGAUUGUCACACAGGCAGGAUGGUCAGAGGGACUCAUUAUCCCUCAAUUUGGUUUCUGUUACUUCUAAUGUUCUUUGUCUAGGAAGGCAGAGGUCAGGGCCAGAACCUCGCAGGCUUCCCAAGGGUAGCAGAACACCCAGAGCCAGCUGGGUGGGACGGGACAUAGGGAACCGUGGGCAUGCUCUGGCUACAGUGUCAGAGCCUAUGGAAGGAUGGGUCCGUACUACUUCUUGCCUCAAAUACUGCAAAAGAAGAAGCCCAUACCUUAUGAAAUGUCUUUGAAAUUGUGGAUGCUGGUCAAUAAUUAGGUUUAACACAAAUUUUGAUAAACAAUGUGGGCCAGGAAAUAAAUCCUGGUGCAUACUAGGUAAUGUCCCCUUGGUCCCAGUGGUGUUCCACCCAGGGAGGCAUGAGGUUUCCUAGAGGAUAUCCUAUGGUCACAUUCUGUUUCCAGUUCACACUGACUUGGAGGUGUGUGUGGGGGGGAAGGGCCAGAGUGGGGAGGUGCAGAUGGGUCUCUCUAGAUGAUUCAGCCCUUUUCCUAAAGUGUUGCUGGGUUUCCCAACUGUCUGUGAUAAGGGAGUACAUGUGUGUUCACAUAGACUUUAGGCAUAGGCAUACCUGCGUGUGUGCACACACACAGUUGCUUACACAGAACCUGGUCUUGACACUAAAAAGGCAAUAGUUUGUGUGUGCAGUGGGACCUGACACUUUUACUCUGAACACAGAUGUCCCCAGUGACUCAUCUGCUGUGUCAGAAGGACCCAGGCAGAAGAGCAUGGGCCAGCCUGGUUAAGUUCUUUCCAGACCCCAUGGAACUCUGCACCAAUCUGCAACAGACAGUGCCCCUCCAACGAGGGACACUCUACAUGUCUAGAGGGUCCCUAGCAAGGAGGCGGAGGAGUAAAGG